rnacentral:rRNA from 1 species
GUGGGGAAUAUUGGGCAAUGGGGGAAACCCUGACCCAGCAACGCCGCGUGAAGGAAGAAGGCUUUCGGGUUGUAAACUUCUUUGACGAGGGAAGAUAAUGACUGUACCUCGAAAACAAGCCACGGCUAACUACGUGCCAGCAGCCGCGGUAAUACGUAGGUGGCAAGCGUUGUCCGGAUUUACUGGGUGUAAAGGGCGCGUAGGCGGGAUGGCAAGUCAGAUGUGAAAUACCGAGGCUCAACCUCGGGGCUGCAUUUGAAACUGCUGUUCUUGAGUGAUGGAGAGGCAGGCGGAAUUCCUAGUGUAGCGGUGAAAUGCGUAGAUAUUAGGAAGAACACCAGUGGCGAAGGCGGCUUUCUGGACGAAAACUGACGCUGAGGCGCGAAAGCCAGGGGAGCAAACGGGAUUAGAAACCCCAGUAGUCC